rnacentral:rRNA from 1 species
UACGAAGGGGGCUAGCGUUGCUCGGAAUCACUGGGCGUAAAGCGCACGUAGGCGGAUUGCUAAGUCAGGGGUGAAAUCCUGGAGCUCAACUCCAGAACUGCCUUUGAUACUGGCGACCUUGAGUCCGGGAGAGGUGAGUGGAACUGCGAGUGUAGAGGUGAAAUUCGUAGAUAUUCGCAAGAACACCAGUGGCGAAGGCGGCUCACUGGCCCGGUACUGACGCUGAGGUGCGAAGGCGUGGGGA